CUUGCCUGCUGCCAUUUAAGAUGUGCCUUUCACCUUCCGCCAUGAUUGUGAGGCCUCCCCAGCCAUGUGGAACUGAAGCUUUUCAACAUCGUGAGGAUUGCAUAAUCAACUCUGAACAUCUGGAAUAGGAGCCUGACUGAACAGAGCAGAAGUGAACUUUCCCGGAGCUCCCAUACUCCAUCCACUCAACUCAACAAAUGUUGACUUAGUGCCUAUGAUGUACAGCACUCAGUGCUAAAAUGCAGUAGGGAAAUAAAUAAGUCUCUUU
rnacentral:lncRNA from 1 species